CGCGUAGGCGGUAUAGUAAGUCGGAUGUUAAAGACCCACGGCUCACCCGGGGGAAUGCGUCCGAUACUGCUAUGCUUGAGUGCAGGAGAGGAAAGUGGAAUUCCUGGUGUAGCGGUGAAAUGCGUAGAUAUCAGGAGGAACACCGGUGGCGAAGGCGGCUUUCUGGCCUGCUACUGACGCUGAGGCGCGAAAGCGUGGGGAGCGAACG
rnacentral:rRNA from 1 species